rnacentral:misc_RNA from 1 species
AAGUCGUAACAAGGUUUCCGUAGGUGAACCUGCGGAAGGAUCAUUACCAAAUCCAAAACAUUUUUACAAAACCCAACACCUCUGUGUGCAUUGGAACCUGGUUCAUUCAUGUCAUUUGGCCUUGUAGUGUGUGAUAAUGAGUGCCUUGAUGGCUUGGAAAACAUUUGUUUUCGGGCUUGACUGGGUCUUGUUAACAUCGUCCUUCAAAGCCAAAUGGGAUUUAACCCACUGUAAAUUCUAUUUCUAAACAAUUUCUCUUUCUGUUCCUUUCGUGGGAAUCGAAAACUUGAAUUGAUAAAGAAACAACUUUUAACGGCGGAUCUCUUGGCUCGC